rnacentral:tRNA from 1 species
AUAUAAGAAGUAAUUUUUACUUUUAAUUUCGACUUAAAGAUUGAUUUAUAUAUAUUGAUAAAUCCUUAUAUA